rnacentral:rRNA from 1 species
UGAAGGCUGAAAUUCGCCUUCAUGAAGCCGGAAUUGCUAGUAAUGGCAGGUCAGCAUACUGCCGUGAAUACGUUCCCGGGCCUUGUACACACCGCCCGUCACACCAUGAGAGCCGGGAACACCCGAAGUCCGUAGUCUAACCUAUAUGGAGGACGCGGCCGAAGGUGGGUUUGGUAAUUGGGGUGAAGUCGUAACAAGGUAUC